UACGUAGGGUGCAAGCGUUGUCCGGAAUUAUUGGGCGUAAAGAGCUCGUAGGCGGUUUGUUGCGUCGGCUGUGAAAUCCCGAGGCUCAACCUCGGGUCUGCAGUCGAUACGAGCAAACUAGAGUGUUGCAGGGGAGACUGGAAUUCCUGGUGUAGCGGUGGAAUGCGUAGAGAUCGGGAGGAACACCAAUGGCGAAGGCAGCUCACUGGGACGGUAUUGACGCUGAGACGCGAAAGCGUGGGGAGCAAACAGG
rnacentral:rRNA from 1 species